GCAACUUUAUCGCUGUUAAUUUCAGUUGCUUUGAAUCCCAUUUGUUCCUCAUCAGCAUUAGUUGAGGGAAUCACCAUCCAUCAUUGGUAAAGAAAACAAAUAGUUGAGGGAAUCAAGCUUCACAGCUGGCUCAUCUUUUGUCAGUGGCCACUGGAGAUUGUCACCAACUUUUACCAUGUUAGCAACGAAACACCCUUGUCUAAGAUUCGAGCUAUCGUGAAUUUGCCCUUGGCAAGCUCUAGAGCUUCUCCUUCAUUCAUCAGAUGAACUGCGCAUCCUGGAAUCUGCAACCGAAACUCUUUGUUGAUAGUUUUGGUUUCUGGGUUCUUCUGUUUUGUUAAGAAAGUGAUUUCAGGGCCACCAUGCCGGAAAAUGCCUCCUCUAAUUCUAAUCUUGCCUUCUGUCCGAAGAGAAAUUAUUUUGCUAUCAAUGAAAAGGAAGAAGAAAGACGAGAGGUUGAUGAAAUGACACAACGUUAUACCCCAGGUAGAGUUAUUUGCUUCACCUACCAUGUUGAAAGGCUGUGCUACUUUUGUGGUGCGGAAUGAGAGCUUCAAAUGGAGUUUUCAUGCAUCAGGAACCAGAAGAAUUAAGAUAACCCAACGGGAUGUAAGUUUUCUGUCCAAAACUUCUUAGGGAGAUGAAAUCCCAAAGAUAAUCUACACUUUUUUGUAGCAUUAGAGCAUAGAUCGUUCACAUUUCGGAACAUUAAUACGAUUGAUAGUGGCAAGAAAACAGAGCAUUUUGUCAUA